AACGAAGCCCGCCUGCGCGGGCUA
rfam:Oscillatoria acuminata PCC 6304, complete genome.